CCCGGGCGGGCAGCUUACACAUGCAGUCGAGCGAAGACUUCGGUCUUAGCGGCGGACGGGUGAGUAACGCGUGGGAACGUGCCCUUCACUACGGAAUAGUCCCGGGAAACUGGGUUUAAUACCGUAUACGCCCUUCGGGGGAAAGAUUUAUCGGUGAAGGAUCGGCCCGCGUCUGAUUAGAUAGUUGGUGGGGUAACGGCCUACCAAGUCGACGAUCAGUAGCUGGUUUUAGAGGAUGAUCAGCCACACUGGGACUGAGACACGGCCCAGACUCCUACGGGAGGCAGCAGUGGGGAAUCUUAGACAAUGGGCGCAAGCCUGAUCUAGCCAUGCCGCGUGAGUGAUGAAGGCCUUAGGGUCGUAAAGCUCUUUCGCCAGGGAUGAUAAUGACAGUACCUGGUAAAGAAACCCCGGCUAACUCCGUGCCAGCAGCCGCGGUAAU
rnacentral:rRNA from 1 species